AAACCUGGAUUAGAUACCCAGUUAUCCGUGACACAAGAAAGGCUUACCAGAUUACUAAAAGUUUGUUCUUAAAAGUCAAAUGAUUUGGCGGACUUACACUCAAACGUACAGGGGAAUCUGGGCAUUAAAGGAUGAUCCGCCUACAUUUGCUCCUUUUCUUAAAUUUUGCACAUGUAUGGCCGUUUAUAAACUAUUGUUCGUGAGAGAUGUGUUAAAAAGCUUUAUAGUAUUAUGGUUUAUACUCAGUUUUUGUAGUUAUAUAAGUACUUUUUGCUUAAAGCUCAUAAUGCAGGUUGUCAUUUGGCUAUUGGAAAGGCGAGCCUGGAUUACAGUUGAAAUUGAACAAACCGAAUUGUUUUUAAUAAAUUAACUACAUGAAGAGGGACUUGUAAGUAAAUUUGUUAAAUAAUGGCAAAUUGAAUGAAGUGUAGUAGUACAAAUCGCCCGUCGCUCGCGGGGUGACCUGUGAU
rnacentral:rRNA from 1 species